GACGAACGCUGGCGGCGUGCCUAAUACAUGCAAGUUGAGCGCUGAAGGUUGGUACUUGUACCAACUGGAUGAGCAGCGAACGGGUGAGUAACGCGUGGGGAAUCUGCCUUUGAGCGGGGGACAACAUUUGGAAACGAAUGCUAAUACCGCAUAAAAACUUUAAACACAAGUUUUAAGUUUGAAAGAUGCAAUUGCAUCACUCAAAGAUGAUCCCGCGUUGUAUUAGCUAGUUGGUGAGGUAAAGGCUCACCAAGGCGAUGAUACAUAGCCGACCUGGGAGGGUGAUCGGCCACAUUGGGACUGGGACACGGCCCAAACUCCUACGGGAGGCAGCAGUAGGGAAUCUUCGGCAAUGGACGAAAGUCUGACCGAGCAACGCCGCGUGAGUGAAGAAGGUUUUCGGAUCGUAAAACUCUGUUGGUAGAGAAGAACGUUGGUGAGAGUGGAAAGCUCAUCAAGUGACGGUAACUACCCAGAAAGGGACGGCUAACUACGUG
rnacentral:rRNA from 1 species